rnacentral:rRNA from 1 species
ACGCUAGCGGCAGGCUUAACACAUGCAAGUCGAGGGGCAUCGCGGGUGGCAACACCUGGCGGCGACCGGCGAACGGGUGAGUAACGCGUGAGCAACAUGUCCUCAGUCGGGGGAUAAGCGAGGGAAACUUCGUCUAAUACCCCAUAACACUUUCAGGCGCAUGCCUUUAAGUUGAAAGCUUUUUUUGCGACUUUGGUUUGGCUCGCGUGACAUUAGCUAGUCGGUGGGGUAACGGCUCACCGAGGCUACGAUGUCUAGGGGUUCUGAGAGGAAGGCCCCCCACAUUGGGACUGGGACACGGCCCAAACUCCUACGGGAGGCAGCAGUGAGGAAUAUUGGUCAAUGGACGGAAGUCUGAACCAGCCAUGCCGCGUGAAGGAAGACUGCCCUAUGGGUUGUAAACUUCUUUUGCAGCAGAGCAAUAAGGCGUACGCGUACGCCGAUGAGAGUAUGUUGCGAAUAAGCAUCGGCUAACUCCGUGCCAGCAGCCGCGGUAAUACGGAGGAUGCGAGCGUUAUCCGGAUUUAUUGGGUUUAAAGGGUGCGUAGGCUGUUUUGUAAGUCAGCGGUGAAAGACCGGGGCCCAACUCCGGAAGUGCCGUUGAUACUGCAUUGCUAGAGUUCCC